CUCAGUGCGUACCACAGUAGACACAGCACCGCCACCCGCGCGCCCUCGCGCGCCCCGCCGCCACCACCCGGGCCCGGGCCCCCCGCGCCCGCGCCGGGACCCGCGGCUGCCGCGGCCGCCAUCCUGCCCGAGCGGCCGCCCCUUCCCGCCGGACGACCGCCGGACGCGGGUCGGGGGCGGGACAGCCCGGGCGGGCGCGCCGGCAGACGCCGCUCACCAUUGGCCCCUGGUCCUGUGCGUCAUCGUCGCGCGUCCACCGACCUGCCCACACCCACGUCUUCGGAGAGGGCCCCACCCUCACUCGAAUGCCUUCCGGAAGGGGGCGGGGCCGAUCCCGGAAGGCCGGCCGCGGGUCCCGCGCUUCUGCUAAGCGCGUUCCGUUCUCCCCGGGCUCUGGCUGGACUCGGUGAGAGGUGCCCGGCGACGCGGGCACGCCCACUUGGGGCUGUGGGAGCGGCGUGCCUAGGGAGCAGAUAGAGCUGAGAUCUUUCAGAAGACACGAAACCGAUUGUGGUAAACCUUCCGGACGACGCCGGGUCCUCCGAAGCUGUGAGGUACAUGUGCUCAAGCGUGAAGUCUGGCUCAGGGCCACCCAGCUGGGGUUUCACCUCCUCAAGUGGCCUUGUAAUGCGAGUGGGACCAUUCUGCAACAAACCUCAGAAAUUCCUACUGGCUCUGAAACGGAUUCUGGGUUGGCUGUGGUACCAAUCAGACCAGAAGGGAACUGCAACUGAUGGGGCCACAUGACUCCAAACAGGGGCAAUCAAAAGAGGGUGCUUGGCCCUGAAUCACCCAAAAACCAGCUCCUGCUAUGAGUUCCUGAGCAAGUCACCUUCCUGGAAGCAUGUGUGUCUACUCCCCUACUCAGACUUGGAAGUCAGGGAAACAUCAGGCAGGAGCCACAAUUAAACAGUGAUUUGUCCAGAAGCCAGCAGGAGCUAUAGAUGUAGGCAGUGGAUCUCAGCCCUAAUACAAUCUCCAUACCCAUGUACAAAUACCUAACAGGAGCUGCCUUGGUGUGUGGGGGCCAUGGACAGCCACGUUCUCCAAGAGCCACCUACCUUUGAGUUCCCUCCCACAGCUGACCUUGCUGCUUGACUAAAGCAGAGGGGGGUCUUCAAGCUGGGGCCUAUGGCUCGGUGAUGGGGACAGAACGCUUCCUGCACAUCCUGCAUGCUGUCAAGGCCACACACAGUGCUUACAAGGGACACCAACACUAGCCAUCCUGCAAAUCUACUUCUGCAGAAUCUAUCACCGAAAUGGAAACCUAGGGGUUCUUUGGAAAGUGAGCUGUGUUGGUGUUUCGCUGGGGCAAACACAUGAAGGAGUGUUUUCCUGAAGUGGACACAGGUGAAAAACUAAGGCAAAAGCAGAAGCAGACACAGGAGAGAGGAUGUUCUUUAAAGCAAGCACAUGAAAGGAGACAUGCUGAAGGAUUCUUUGCUAACAACACAAAUGUAUUGGGGUCCGCCUUAUAUUGUAUAGCUGAGCUGAAUUUGUCAGGACUACAUAGAGAGAGAGAAACUAGUGCUGUGCUACAGUUCCUUGAAGCGUCUGUGGACUUGGGCUGGUUGGCAGAGUGAUGUCAGCUGAGACAGACAUGUGCUGAGGCAAGACGCAUGGAGGACACGUCAAGUUUGUAGGGUAUAAAAAAGGACUCAAAGGACAGUGACAGAGGCUGAGCUAGGCUUGCUGAUAAGAGCUAUCUGUGCAACACUUGUGUGUCUCACAUCUUUCCUUCCUUGAGAGAGGCAUAACUGAGACGUCUCCUGGUAUUCCUCUUGGUAGUACCACCGCUGCUGAUUCGUGUUUGCUAUCUCAAAUCUACCGAACUGGACUGCUGUGGCGACCUGUGCACUGAAUUGCCAAUUUCCAGACAAUCCAGAUAGGAGUUGCUUCAAAGAACCUUUCUAUAAACAGGUCCACAUUUCCCCCACCCCCCAACCCCCCUCUAGGAAAGCGGGCCUUGCUCUUGAAACUGUGAGCACUGGAAUUCUGUCCCACUGAAAGACCCGAGCUUUCCCACAGACAGGGCUACAGAAGGUAAGGAGGCCUGGUUUGCUGGGACUCACUGCUUCCACCUGUUGCUCAUCUAUGUUAACUGUCUACACCCCGAUCUGCUAAGAGGGUCCUGGGGUAGCUUUCCCACAGGAAACAGAAACUCAGUUACUGUGCCUUCCUUCACCUUACCCAUCCCAGGAAGCACACUCUGGACCACCACUGCAAAGACACGGUCCCAAAUCCACAAGGAAGGAGGCUGCAUUUUACAAAUAUAUAGCAAUCAAGGCCUCCUCAAGGCCACAAAGUUUACAAAGCUACACUGGGGGUGGGGACCUUGGAAACUUGUCCAUCUAGGACCACUGAACUUUGUCUUCUCCAGGAAAACACAUUUCACUGUAAAACAGAAGCAGCUGCCUGGACAGGAUGUUGCCAACGGGGUGCUGUGUGUGAGCUGAAGUGGGUGGUGGCUGACUGGGUAUUUUAGGGAAUGAGAAUAUUCUCUAACCCUAGACAACACUAGGUACACAGGUGCCAGAAUGUCAGAUGGAUCAAAAUGUACAUCAGAGUCUUAUCUUAAGACUCAAGACACAUCAAGAUUCUAUCACAAAGUUAACCUGAAACAAAUGCCUGUGCCAUAAGGAAAUAACAGCUCCACAAAGGCAACUGUGAUUACUGGAUAGACAGACUAGGAAAGCACAGGAAAGUGAGGAAAGCCCUCCUGAACGUGCAAAAUUUAUUUUUAUUUUGUGCAUGUGUGUGUUUUGCCUGCAUGUAUGUAUGAAGACCAGAUGCAUGCCUGGUAAGAGGGCAUCCUGGAACUGUAUUGGCAGAACAUUGUUAGCCACCAUGUAGGUGUUAGGAACUGUACCUAGGUCCUCUUUAAGAGCAGCUAGCUCCAUAUAUGCUAAUUUUGGGAGUACUGGAGUCAGGACCCUGCUAGGCAAGUGCUCUAUCAAGGAGCCUCAUCUUCACCCCCACCCCGAAGUAUGGCUUUUACCACACAGCUUUGGACACAAGAGUGGUGGCUAAGGCAGCAUUGAGGACAGAGGUCUCAGACUGAGGAGAGUUGACAGAGAUAAGUGACUGGUGAACAAUAAGCUACAAAAGAAAAAUGUGGGGGCUGGAACAAUAGCUCAGCGGUUAAGAGAACUGAUUUGCUCUUCCAAAAGUCCUGAGUUCAAAUCUUAGCAACCAUAUGGUGGCUUACAACCAUCUGUAAUGGGAUCUGACACCCUCUUCUGAUACUUACAUAUAAUAAAUAUAUAACUCUUAAAAAAAGAGAGAAAAAGAGAGAAAGAGAGAAAGAGAGAGAGAGAGAGAGAGAGAGAGAGAAAGAAAGAAAGAAAGAAAGAAAGAAAGAAAGAAAGAAAGAAAGAAAGAAAGAAAGAAAUGUAAGACACAAGACAAUGGUGAGCUGAAGAGCCAGCGUGCAGAGAAGAGCCAGGAGCCUGCUGCAGGAGAAAGGGCCUCUGAUUGGUCCACAUCCCCCAGAUGGGAUAGCAUGAAUAGUAGUUUGGCUGGUCUUGGCUGAUUUGUGUUCUUUUUUGCCACCCUUUAUCCCCCACCUCCUGUUUCACCCCCAUAACACUAGAUAGGAGAGAGAGGAAUUAGGAAAAUUCCUGAAUCUAAUUUCAGGAAUCCCAGAAUUCCAAACGUCACACAAAGGAAUUAUCUAUAGCUGGCAAAACAUUGCUUCUUGGUAGAGCAUGAGGCAAAUAAAGGUCAGCUUCUACAAAUAGUCGAAAGCAGCCCCACAGCCCUGGGAUUAAAAUGAAAGCACAUUCUUAUUUUUGUGUUGUAAAUGUAAUUUUUAUUCACCUGAGGUAAUUGUCUCAGAGUCUUAGCCUCUAUCUGCUACCCUAGGUCUAGUCCUGUAAGCUUCUAGCCUACAUACAAUAUAUUCUAGGCCUAGAAUGUUUUCAACGUCUGAGACUGCUGAACCAGCUCACCCUUUCUAGUUCUGAGCUCUGGCUGAGUGAUCAACUCAGGUGUUCCGGCUCAACCUCUUCUCCAUGCUGACUUAAUUUGACUUCUCUCAACUUCUCCUGAAUUGCUCUACUUGGUUUCAAACUAACUCUAGCAAUCUGUUUUAAUCUCAAUCUCAUUCUCAUUCUCUGGCUUGUACUCCCUGUCUCUUACCCUGACUCUGAAAAACUGCCUCCUCCUUUUUUUUUGCUUCCCUCUAUAACUAGCUUCCCUUUUUCUCUCCUUCAGAGAAUUAGGCAUAGCCUAUUCUGUCAAAUCUUACUGAUUCAUAACUUUGUUUGCCACUGAAUUAGACAACACUUUCAAAUACAGGUGCUUCCUUCUACAAACUUUUCCUCAUUGUUUGGUAUUAAAGGUGUGUGCUAGGGGUAUAUUCCAGCCAGUGCAAUUAAAGGUGUGUGCUAAGGGCUGAGCCACACCACAACUAUAAACAAGUUUUUUCAGUAAAUAACAAAAUCUCAGAGUUCAAAAUGCGGACAAAUAUCCUGAAACACUGUUUUUUAAAGAAACCAAAAUUCCCAAAUUGUCACUACAUUUCUCCUUUCUGUUUUGAGCCAUAUAUUUAUGCUGGGUGUAGUGGGAAAUUAUAAACAGAGACAUUUUCAAUGAAAUGAGUGUUUUUCAGGUCAGUGUUGAAGAUUUUCAGGAGACCUUGCCUGUUGCUUCUACUGUGGUGGCUUUGCCUUUGAUGUACGGAGAUAAAAACAGCUGAACAAUGCAAUCACCUGCAUCAAAUUGCAUCUCUCUUUCUACAUAGGCCAUAAUUUUAUUUUCUCCUUUGAAAUCUUCAUUUACAAUUCCUGGAUGUACAAUCCUUGGAAAACCAAUCCAGUCCUUCCCCAGAUCAUCUCUACUGUCCCAGAGGGCAAAGGACCAUCAACUCCAGUACUUCUUUUAUAACACUGAGUUUUGGGGGAUCGCGUAAGAUGUUUAUCUGUGGCCAAGUCUAGAGCAGAUCUGCCUCUGUGUCCUGCAUUAAAUCUCCAAUGCUGACCGGAGAUUUUUCAGUCUGCAUAUUACUCCUUGGCUGAACCGGCUUCUAAAAUUUGUUGUGGAGUGCUGAGCCAGGCCCCCAAGGCCGCUUCUGGUUAGAAAUUACUUUGAAUGUCUCUUUUGGACCCACACUCAUUGGUCCAAUACCAACCCUUGCUACACUGCCUUUACGCCCCUGGAAGCCUAAGCCUUCUUUCUGAUUUAUAUUUAGAAAAACCAUUGCCCUCAGAGAUGCCUUGUUCACAAUUUUGUUACAAAUGUCUGUAUUUCCCACAAUUAAAGCACCUAGCAUUUUGAGAUCUGAGACCUUUUCGGGCUUGGUCAUUGUCUCUUUGCAAAUGAAUAUAUUUUCUGGAACUGCAGCACUGGGCAUUUUGAUUUUGAAGACCUAAAAUUUUAGCAUAGUACAUGUUAGAACCAAUAUCAGUUGUAUCCUUUAUCCAUUUGUCCAUAGGCAUUGCUCAUACCUUUAAUGGUCUAAUAACUUUUUUUUUACAUUCUGCAUUCACAUUUUCAAACUCCAAGGCCUCUAUCAACACCUAUAGUGUACAAAUAUACAUAAAAUAAAUAUUUUUUAGAUUUAUUUAUUUAUUUAUUUAUUUAUUUAUUUAUUUAUUUAUUAUAUAUGAGUAC